rnacentral:rRNA from 1 species
GAUGAACGCUAGCGGCAGGCCUAACACAUGCAAGUCGAGGGAGGAGCUUUCGGGCUUCGACCGGCGUACGGGUGCGUAACGCGUAUACAAUCUGCCUUUCACAUAGGGAUAGCCCGAAGAAAUUUGGAUUAAUACCUAAUGGUAUAUAGAGGUGGCAUCACCUUUAUAUUAAAGCUGAGGCGGUGAAAGAUGAGUAUGCGUUCUAUUAGCUAGUUGGAGAGGUAACGGCUCCCCAAGGCGACGAUAGAUAGGGGUUCUGAGAGGGAUAUCCCCCACACUGGUACUGAGAUACGGACCAGACUCCUACGGGAGGCAGCAGUGAGGAAUAUUGGACAAUGGUCGGAAGACUGAUCCAGCCAUGCCGCGUGCAGGAAGACGGCCUUAGGGGUUGUAAACUGCUUUUGCAGGGGAAGAAUAAGGACUACGCGUAGUUUGAUGACGGUACUCUGCGAAUAAGCAUCGGCUAACUCCGUG